rnacentral:RNase_P_RNA from 14 species
AGAGAGAACGAGAAAAAAGAAGAAAAAAGAAGAAGAAAGAAGAAAAAAGAGGCUUUUCUUCUCUAUCGCCCUUUCUUCCUUCCGCUUUCCUCUCCGUUUAUUGGCCUUCUUUCUCAUUUUACUUCAUUUUACCGAUUCGUUCUUUCCUUCUUCAAGGUUAGCGCGAGGAAGAAGUAAGUAGUAAGGGAAAGAAGGAAAGGGAACCAAACAACGAGAGUCGCCUCAUCUUUGAAAGGGUGUCAUAAGUUGAGCCAACCAACCUCUAUCAAACAUCAUGUUUAUUAAUUAUUUAUUUAGAAACACGAUUGGAUAUUAGGGAGAGAGAGGGCACUAAGUUUGGUUUGUUUUAUUUUAAUUAAAGUAGAUGAUAAAAUGAGCACUUCAAAAUAAACAAGGAUUAAAAGAGGAAAAGUAUCACCCAAAUUUUAAAUGAA